rnacentral:misc_RNA from 1 species
CGACCAUCAAGCUUUAGCUUAGUGUUGGGAACUUACGUUAUUGUAAUUCCUUAAAAUCAUUGGCAGAGUUUUAUUACCUCUGAGCGUAGUAAUUUUUAUCUCGCUUUCGACAGUAGUUUAGUUCUUGCCAUAAACCUUUAUUUUUAAU